CGGACGGGUGAGUAAUGCCUAGGAAUCUGCCUGGUAGUGGGGGACAACGUUUCGAAAGGAACGCUAAUACCGCAUACGUCCUACGGGAGAAAGCAGGGGACCUUCGGGCCUUGCGCUAUCAGAUGAGCCUAGGUCGGAUUAGCUAGUUGGUGAGGUAAUGGCUCACCAAGGCGACGAUCCGUAACUGGUCUGAGAGGAUGAUCAGUCACACUGGAACUGAGACACGGUCCAGACUCCUACGGGAGGCAGGCAGCU
rnacentral:rRNA from 1 species